UUCUGGCUCAGGAUGAACGCUAGCUACAGGCUUAACACAUGCAAGUCGAGGGGCAGCAUAACGAAAGCUUACUUUGUGAUGGCGACCGGCGCACGGGUGAGUAACGCGUAUCCAACCUUCCCGCGAGUAGGGAACAGCCCGGCGAAAGUCGGAUUAAUGCCCUAUGUUCUCCGAUGACGGCAUCAGAGUUGGAGUAAAGAUUUAUCGCUUGCGGAUGGGGAUGCGUCUGAUUGGCUUGUUGGCGGGGUAACGGCCCACCAAGGCGACGAUCAGUAGGGGUUCUGAGAGGAAGGUCCCCCACAUUGGAACUGAGACACGGUCCAAACUCCUACGGGAGGCAGCAGUGAGGAAUAUUGGUCAAUGGGCGGAAGCCUGAACCAAGCCAAGUAGCGUGAGGGACGACUGCCCUAUGGGUUGUAAACCUCUUUUGUUCGGGAAUAAAGUUCGGGACGUGUCCCGUUUUGUAUGUACCGUUCGAAUAAGGACCGGCUAAUUCCGUGCCAGCCGCAGC
rnacentral:rRNA from 1 species